GACGAACGCUGGCGGCGUGCUUAACUCAUGCAAGUCGAACGAUGAAGAAGAGACACGCGAACUUCGGUUCAAAUUUCACUUCGGAUUAGUGGCAGACGGGUGAGUAACGCGUGAGCAACCUACCUCUUACAAAGGGAUAGCCUCGGGAAACCGUGAUUAAUACCAUAUGACACAUUCAUAAGGCAUCUUAAGAAUGUUAAAGCUACGGCGGUAAGAGAUGGGCUCGCGUCCCAUUAGCUAGUUGGUGAGGUAACGGCCCACCAAGGCGACGAUGGGUAACCGGCCUGAGAGGGUGAACGGUCACAUUGGAACUGAGACACGGUCCAAACUCCUACGGGAGGCAGCAGUGGGGAAUAUUGCACAAUGGAGGGAACUCUGAUGCAGCGACGCCGCGUGAGCGAUGAAGGAAUUCGUUUCGUAAAGCUCUGUUCUAUGGGAAGAAAAGGACUGUACCAUAGGAGAAAGCCCCGGCUAAAUACGUG
rnacentral:rRNA from 1 species